GACGAACCGUGCGAACGUUGUUCGGAAUCACUGGGCUUAAAGGGCGCGUAGGCGGGCUACCAAGUCUGUGGUGAAAUCCCCCGGCUCAACCGGGGAACGGCCGUGGAUACUGGGAGCCUCGAGGGAGAUAGGGGCAGGCGGAACUGAUGGUGGAGCGGUGAAAUGCGUUGAUAUCAUCAGGAACUCCGGUGGCGAAGGCGGCCUGCUGGAUCUCAUCUGACGCUGAUGCGCGAAAGCCAGGGGAGCAAACGGG
rnacentral:rRNA from 1 species